UGCUAUGACAGUUAUUCGAUGUUUUAAAUGAAGUUUUCCUUUUUUGGUAUUUUAUUAUUCAUGAUUGGAAGUAGUUUUCAUCCGGUGAACAAGAGUAGAUAAAAGGUUUAGAUUGCAAAAUGUCAAAACUUGACAUAGUGAUAAAUCCUAAAAGUGUCCUAUCAAGUCAGAAUCUCGGUUGAAUUGAUUCGCUUUUUGCCAUUUCUAUCCCCUCAAAGGUACGUAUUCGUAUAUGGAAUUCUAGUGUAAGUUUGAAAUGAAAUAAAGAAAAGCAAGCAGUCGUGGAGCUAACAUACAUGUGCCAAGAUGGAAAGCUUAGGAUUCUUUGGUAUAAAAAGGAAGGCGCUCUUUAGUUUUGUAUUAUUAUCCUUUCUAAGAUUUAAAUUAAAAUGAAUGGACUGUAAUUAUCUUGGGCACAGCACCACAACUAGGCAAUAAAUUGGGGGAAAUGGGGGUAGA